ACUCCGUGAACUACUUUUGCUGUUACUAGGAAAGAAGUAGAAUGUUGUGAGAAGGAAGAAACUCGCAGACGGGCAAACGGAGAGGAAAAACCAGAUUCUUUGACGCUCGGGAUUCUUAGUACCAGUAAGAAAGGCUCGUGGGAUUUGGGAUCAAGAGGAAAGAAAAUUCCUCUUUUUACCAUUAUAUCUUCACAGUGGGCACCGACGUGUACAACAAGGGCUUAUGAGGGUUUUGAAAAUUGAUUUUUCGAUAUUGUUUUGGGCUUGGAAAA
rnacentral:misc_RNA from 1 species